rnacentral:lncRNA from 1 species
UCAUGACCAUAACGGUCAACAACGUUUACGAGGGAGCACGCUGUCACGCUCGUGACAGAAUGUGUUACGGGCGUCACGGGUUGCAGUGCUGCGUGGCGACCGUGACAGCCUGCGUGACGAUCGUCACACUGCUGAGUUUUGCAACGGUCGUGACAGCAACUUUUGUGACAAGUUUUGUUUUAUUAUUUAUUUAUUAUUAUAAUUUUU